AUAAAUGGCAAGGUCAAUUACCCGAGGACGAUGAGAACUUUUUCGAAGUGAUUUUCCAAGAAGACGUUUUGGUCCGUAACGCUAUUACCCAACAGUGCAAUGGAUCUAGAAUCAUAUCAUUCAGUGUUGAUGCUUUCCAAGGCAAAGUCACAAUUUCGGCCGAUUUUGAUAUUUCGGACUGUUUUUCUUCAGCCUGUAAAGUCUCGACAAGAUGGACUGAAAGUGCCGACCAAUAUAAGAUCAUCCCAACGAGAUGGGAAGGGGAUUUAUGCUUUCGAUUUGAACUUCUCGGAUGUACUAGCGUAGACUGUUCCACCUCGUAUUGUAAUCUUGGUAAUCAUGGCAAAGGGAGCUGUUCGUCGGGUUCCCUCUCGAAGAGUGCUCAGGAAUUCACUGGAAAUCUCUCCAUAUCACUUCCUCCUCGCGCACAGUGCCAGGCCAAUAUCACCGCACCAAUGGAUGCCUAUGUCUC